rfam:Ochotona princeps cont2.112117, whole genome shotgun sequence.
GGUUAGUACCCCUGAAAGGCAGGUGAAAGUCUGCACCUCAAUUAGUGUCAUUGUCUUAAUAGGCGCAGCUCAGCCCUUUGGAGUCAGUCAUCCCAGAACGUGUAGCUUUUGGGGGGUUUUCUCAGGGUGCCUGUCACAAAAUAUUGUCCUCUUUGCUUUAGACACA